rnacentral:rRNA from 1 species
CAGUCGCCACGGGAAUACAGAGGGUGCAAGCGUUAAUCGGAAUUACUGGGCGUAAAGCGCGCGUAGGUGGUUCGCCAAGUUGGAUGUGAAAUCCCCGGGCUCAACCUGGGAACUGCAUCCAAAACUGGCAAGCUAGAGUAUGGUAGAGGGUGGUGGAAUUUCCUGUGUAGCGGUGAAAUGCGUAGAUAUAGGAAGGAACACCAGUGGCGAAGGCGACCACCUGGACUGAUACUGACACUGAGGUGCGAAAGCGUGGGGAGCAAACAGGAUUAGAUACCCGCGUAGUCCCUGUCUCUUAUAC